UAAAUCGAAUCGUGACAUUUUCUGAAUCGUGCACCCCUAAAACACUGAAUUUAUAUUUACUUCAGAACAACAGCUGUACAGACAGCUGUUGAAGUUAAUAUUUGGGCUGGGCAAUGUGGGGAAAAAAAAAUAAUUAGAAGUUCUUUGACAUUGAUAUACAUCCCAAUGUCUCAUACUUCUAAAGGUAGAAUCCAUGAUAGAAUCAAAAAGAUGCACAAUAAGUUAUAUAAAUAUACUGCCCAUCCCUGGAGGUAGACCUACUGUAUAAACUUGUGGUGCUGUAGAUCAGUGGUUCCCAACCACACGGGCUCACAACAUAGAAGGGUAGAAAAAAGAAACCUGUUUUUGCUACACAGUUAAUUUUUCAAGCUUUUAGCUAAUCAUUGCUUGUUUUUUUUGUUUUUUUCCUUCUUUUAAACUACUGAAUAAAGUUUAAGUAUUCAAAUGCAGCGAUCUGAAAAGAAAAACACUUUUUAGUUAAUCUGGUCACAACCUGUAGACUGAUGCAACAUGUGAGAAAUAGACCGAGCUUUGCUUUAAGGGUUCAUAAGGUUAAAAGGUUGGGAACCACUGCUGAAGAUCCUCCUGAGAGGCAGGGAUCUCUAAUUGUACUGUUAAAAACAAGCACAUACAAUGCUAAUACCAAUGCUUGGUGCAUUUUAUUUACCAACACGAAGAUCUAAAUGCUGUUUUUAAAGCCUUUUCUACACUUUUAGGAUUAAAAUUCUCCGUAUGCAGCCUCAGUACAGUAAAGACAUAAACAAAAUGAGUCUGUACUGAGGGCAGGAAAGUCCCUGGUGCUGCCAGUGAAGGAACCGCAUCUCCUCUCAAGUAGAAAAACACAAAACAUGACACCACACUGAAACUCAGCACCUCUUUCAACUCACACUCCAUAUCCUUCAUCACUGCAAACACAAAAUGAAGACUGACUAUAAUAUUACGUUUUAAUCCCUAAAACACCUGAAACCAUGUGAUUACUGACAGAAUCCCAUGAUGCGUCAUUGCUACGGAUUUAAAUAGUUGGAACUGGACACUUUUCAUUAUGCCAAAUCUCUGUGCCAUGGCUGGACACACACACACACACACACACACACACACACACACACACACACACACACACACACACACACGACGGUGCCAAAUGGCCACUAUCAAUCGAAGGUUUAUUGACCGAUAGAUUUGAUUGUUUUACUCUGUGUUCCUCACCUUCAGUGCUUUUAAUUGAAGCCAUAACUGUUCAUACAUGUUGACGCUCGUUCUUAUCACAUUAUUUAAAAAUGAGAAUACACUGGAGAUGUCUUGCUACUGAAUAGUGAUAACACUGAUUACCAGGUUUCUGAGAUUGCACUUAUUCAAAUUCAGUCUUGUAAUUUGUAUCAAUUUAAACCGGUUGAUAAUAGAGGCUUGGACACUGGCUGGUAAAGUGAAGUUCAACUUACUUAUAAUUUAUUUGCAAAAUUAGAUCAAAGAAAUGUGUUGAUUAGAGAUAAAGAGGAUCAUCAUAUUACACUACAUGGUCUCAGUCUGAGCUGUUUGGAUCUUACAGUUCUUUACCAAUGGUCAGUACGACGUGUAAGCAUUUCCAUUUGAAACGCAGUCGGUCACUAAUGAAGUUUUAGUUAUAUUCGUUUAAUUAUGUGCAUAGUUUUGAAGACUUGUUUUUGCAGGAAAUGCCUUUUUAUGAUCACUGUUCUGGAGCCACAUAUUAAAUUCUUCCAUAUGUGUAGUCUUCCUUUAGGUCUUAAUGCUUCUGUUUUAGAUGGAGGUAUUUCAGUCACAGGCUACAGGCAGAUGCUAGCUGGUUAUUAUACAAGGACUUCCAUACUGGUGCAGUGCACAGAUUUGACAUUAGAAGACUAACUCUGGGGUUUAACCGAUACUGCUGUGAAGGUCAGGGCUCACUUUAUUGUGAGACAUGAGAAAGGUUAGUAGAAGUGAGGAUUCAAUAUCAGGUUAUUCUGGGUAUUCACUGUUUAUUGUUGUUGAAACUGUCAUGAGCUAUGGUAUGGAAGUGUGUGUGAUUUAAAUCUUCAUAGCUGUGCUGUAUAUUGAUGUCAGUCAGUGUUUAAGACAGUCACUGAGCCUCACUGUAAUGUCACAGGCUUAACGAUGUUGACAUGUUUAGGACACAUUCAGUAGUUUUCUGACAGUUUCUUGGACUGUAAAUCUAAAUGGAGGACAGAACAUAAAUGCUAUCAGAAAACUUUAUUUCCACUCAUGUCCAUUUUAAUCUCUUUAUUGUAUUCAGUCAGUUCUUGGCUUGCUGCCCUGCUCUCCACUGUCAAAUAGCAUAAAGGCUGAUUUUUGUUUAAUAACUGAAUUGAAAGCAGUGAGCCAGGUAGGAAUCUGCAUCCAGCGCUUUCACCUUAAUUGACUCUUAAGCAGAUUCUUGCCCUUUACUACUGUUGAUUCCAGCAAGAGAAAUUGCCAUUACCGUCACCCACUAAUGUGUCCUCUUUAUUAAAGCCUAUGUGUAGCAACAGAGAAGCAAGCAGGUGUUUACGCUUAUGUAUGUCUGCUUUCCAGUCCUCCAGGUAGGACACAUUAUGUUGACUGCAUUUUUGACAAGCUGGACUUUUUAAAUGUGCUUUCUUACAUGUCUGUGUAGUGUUUUUGUAAGCAUUUGUGUAUAUUGUUUUGAAAGACUGCUCACUGUAAUGAAGGGAAACUCCACUUUACUUUUGUACUUUAGAGAUUUAGAAGUAUAGUAGUCCUUUAAGAGUCAUAUAUAGAUUUUUAUUGAAUAGAGAAUGAAGGAUGUUGGUUGUAAAUGGUAGAUUUUAUUUGUUGUACGUAAAUUACUUUCUUCUUCCUUAUGUCCAGUCAACAGAAAUGAUGAGCUGCAUGACUACAAGGUCAAACUGAACACAGUAGGCUGAAGUAGGAGUGUGUUACUUGGGCUCAAAGUUAUUAAAUCUCACAUUUUAGAUAUUAAUUUAUUGAAAAUGAAGUGAGGCAUUUGAGUACUAAUUUAAAUGGCUUGAGGAACCUGUUGAAAUGAAGUAAAUGGGCACUCUCGCUUGUGGGAUCAUGGCAGCUUGUUUUAAAAUGUAAAGUUGUCCUUGUUUAUUCUGGGCUUUCUGAAAAACAGAAAUUUGUGAUUGUGUGUAAUUAUUUCAAUGAAAUGUUUCAUGUAAAUAAAAUGUUUUUUAAU